GCUUGAUUUUCUCAGAUGUCUUUCUUCUGAGGCAAUGAAUAUGUUUGUUUCGGAGAUGCAGUCUCUUAGAUUAAUAAUAUGGAGAGUAAGAUAAGAAGGUAGAAUUGGCAGAGUCCUAGGACCAAAGCAAAAUAAUUGAAGAGAAUAUUACGAAAGCCUACUAUUUUUUUUAAAUUUAAUUUUAUUGGAGUAUAGUUGAUUUACAGUGUUGUAUUAGUUUCAGGUGUACAGCAAAAUGAAUCAGUCAUUCAUGUAAAUAUAUCCAUUCUUUUUUCCCAUAUAGCUUAUUACAAACUAUUGAGUGGAUUUUCCUCUGCUAUGCAGGAGGUUCUGGUUAAUCAUCUAUUUUAUUCAGUCAUUCCCAGUCUCCCAAUUCUUCCUCCGCCCCCAGCAGGUCCACCUAUGGUAACCACAAGAUUGGUUUUGAAAUCUGUGAGUUUCUGCUUUAGAAAUUAAGCGCUUUUGUAUCAUUUUUUAUUAGAGUCCACAUAUAAGUGAUACCAUAUGAUAUUUGUCUUUCUCUGGCUGACAGCCAAUUACUUUUGAAGAUAUUUAUAUGUGAUACAAGUAAAGAAUAACUAAAUAUGGCAGACUAAAUAACUAGACUAUCAUAUGGUAGACUAGAGAAUUAUGUCUAAUUUAAAAAAUGCAGCAAAAAAUUAAAUGAAAAAAGGAGGAUGGUAUAUAAAAAGUGCUCCCCCUUUUUCUGUAGCUAUAAUACAAACACACAUUCAGAGCAUCUCAACACAUGUAAUACACACACACACACAUAUAUAUACACACAAUACACAUAGCACCUAAACCAGAUCAAUACAAAAUAAGCAUAAGCCAACAAUGACAAUUCAUCUAUUAUCAGAUAAUAGACCAUUUCAUUGAACAACUUGUUUCAUUUUCAGACAUCUGCCUGCAUUUAGCCUGAAAUUAUUGAUUAAAAGCCAAACAUAAAAAGGAAUUAGAUGGAAUAAGACUAUCUAGAAACCAAGUAGCAUUUUAUAAACAUAAUUUAUGCCACAGCAGUUUUCCAUAUGAAGAUAAAAGGCACAGAACAUGUGUUAUUGAUCAAUCACUCCAACAAUGGAUGACAGUAUAAAGCUAGUAUGUAUUUGUGAUCACAUUUGAAGGUAAUAUGUUUUCACAUUAAGCAUAAAAAUACUAUUUUAUUAUCCCCCAAGCUUUUAUUAAAAUCUGAUGGGUCAGCCUUAUUGGAUCAUGUUAUAUCUUUCUUCAUGCUCUAUAUUUGCAAGAUCUACAGCUCCUAGGAAACCGAUCUUUGCAAACUAUUUAGGUUUAGGGACCAUAUCAAUAACAUGUUCUCAAUGAGUAAUAUUUUCUGCCUUUUUGUCUAGGAUGUGAACUAAAAUAUUCCCAGUGUCUCUGAUUUUAUUUCAGUUUCCAAACUGCAAGUAUUUAACAUAUUUUUUGCACUUUAUCCUGGUGAGAGAUAUAGCAGUAUAUAAGGUGUUAUAAUAAAAAGCAUACAUUGUAAUUUCCUCAGAACAGAAGGCUAAAACUUUACUGAGGGAUUGUUUUCACCUGGUAAUUAAAUCACAGUAUCAGGGAGUUCCCUGGUGGCUCAGAAGGUCGAGGAUCUGCCAUUACAACUGCUGUGGCAUGGGUUUGAUUCCUGGUCUGGGAACUUCCUCAUGCCACAGAUGCGGCCAAAAAUAAAAAAUAAAUUACAUCAAUGUAUCAGUAAUAUGUUCUCACGUAAAUGUGUGUUGAAAAUUAUUGAGCAUUUAUAUAUUCUUAUUGGGAUCAAAUCUUUCUUAGUAGACUGAUUAUCAUCUUUUAUCACAUGACCUAACUCAUUAUUAGCACAUAGUAGACAUUCAAUAAAUAUUUGUUAAAUGAAGUGAAUUAAUACUAACAGAACACAACAAAAACAUAUUACAUGUUCAUGAGUGUUCUCGAUCUAGACUCAUAUCCAUGAAAUAUUCUACUUUUUACAAUUCAAUUUGUAAUUACUUAAAAUUAAAGCCACAAAGAUAUUUUGACAUAUUUUUUUUCAUGUGUGCCUCCAAAAUACUGUUAGGUAAAUGCAAAAGAAGAUGCAUAACAGUUCAAGGGUAAGUAUUUUUGCUUUUUUUUUUUUUUUUGCUUUUUAGGGCCACACCUGAGGCAUGUGGCAGUUCCCAGCCAUCAUCACAGCAACUUAGAAUCCAAGCCCUCUCUGCAAACUACACCAGAGCUCAUAGCAACGCUGGAUCCUUAACCCACUGAGUGAGGCCAGUGAUUGAACCUGCAUCCUCAUGGAUAACCAGGUGUGUUUCUGCUGCUCCACAGUGGGAACUCCCAAGGGUGACUAUUUUCUGAAGACAUUUAAUUUGUCUUCUUAAUUUCAUGUUUCAUCCAUACAUAUGUAAAAACAGUUUGGUUAACAUCCUCAUAUAGUGCUAUUAAGCAUCACUACUAUAAAAAAGAAUCACCAUAAAAUUGUUGUGAGAUUUUAGAAAACUAAAGAAUAUAAUUGUGU
rnacentral:lncRNA from 1 species